GACGAACGCUGGCGGCGUGCCUAAUACAUGCAAGUAGAACGCACAGUUUAUACCGUAGCUUGCUACACCAUAGACUGUGAGUUGCGAACGGGUGAGUAACGCGUAGGUAACCUGCCUGGUAGCGGGGGAUAACUAUUGGAAACGAUAGCUAAUACCGCAUAAUAUUGAUUAUUGCAUGAUAAUUGAUUGAAAGAUGCUAUUGCAUCACUACCAGAUGGACCUGCGUUGUAUUAGCUAGUAGGUGAGGUAACGGCUCACCUAGGCGACGAUACAUAGCCGACCUGAGAGGGUGAUCGGCCACACUGGGACUGAGACACGGCCCAGACUCCUACGGGAGGCAGCAGUAGGGAAUCUUCGGCAAUGGACGAAAGUCUGACCGAGCAACGCCGCGUGAGUGAAGAAGGUUUUCGGAUCGUAAAGCUCUGUUGUAAGAGAAGAACGGGUGUGAGAGUGGAAAGUUCACACUGUGACGGUAUCUUACCAGAAAGGGACGGCUAACUACG
rnacentral:rRNA from 1 species